UACGGAGGGUGCAAACGUUGCUCGGAAUCAUUGGGCGUAAAGCGCACGUAGGCGGCCUUGCAAGUCGGAUGUGAAAUCCCACGGCUCAACCGUGGACGUGCAUCCGAAACUGCUCGGCUCGAGUAUGGAAGAGGGUCGCGGAAUUCCCGGUGUAGAGGUGAAAUUCGUAGAUAUCGGGAGGAACACCAGUGGCGAAGGCGGCGACCUGGGCCAAUACUGACGCUGAGGUGCGAAAGCGUGGGGAGCAAACAGG
rnacentral:rRNA from 1 species